rnacentral:rRNA from 1 species
ACUCCUACGGGAGGCAGCAGUGGGGAAUAUUGCACAAUGGACGAAAGUCUGAUGCAGCAACGCCGCGUGGAGGAUGACACAUUUCGGUGCGUAAACUCCUUUUAUAUGGGAAGAUAAUGACGGUACCAUAUGAAUAAGCACCGGCUAACUCC